AACGCACAUUGCGCCCGCCAGUAUUCUGGCGGGCAUGCCUGUUCGAGCGUCAUUUCAACCAUCAAGCCCCCGGCUUGUGUUGGGGACCUGCGGCUGCCGCAGGCCCUGAAAACCAGUGGCGGGCUCGCUGUCACCCCGAGCGUAGUAGUUACAUCUCGCUCUGGGAGUGCUGCGGGUUCCGGCCGUUAAACGCCUUAUUUACCCAAGGUUGACCUCGGAUCAGGUAGGAAGACCCGCUGAACUUAA
rnacentral:misc_RNA from 1 species